AUUGAUCAAUAAUAAUGAAAAGGCAAUGAUGUCCAUAUAGAUAUCAUCUAUUCAUUUCAUGGUAAAUUUGGAUAUUGAAAGUAUAAUUGCAAAAAUAAUCUUGCAAGAUUGAAGCAGAGUACAAGUGUAGCAUUGAAAGGUGUGUAUAUGAUACGACCUAUUUUUAUUGAGUGGCUCAGACUUUGAUAUUUGGAUAUUAGAUACCGCAUGU
rnacentral:lncRNA from 1 species